rnacentral:rRNA from 1 species
UGGGGAAUAUUGCACAAUGGGCGCAAGCCUGAUGCAGCCAUGCCGCGUGUAUGAAGAAGGCCUUCGGGUUGUAAAGUACUUUCAGUCGGGAGGAAGGUGUCAAGGUUAAUAACCUUGGCAAUUGACGUUACCGACAGAAGAAGCACCGGCUAACUCCGUGCCAGCAGCCGCGGUAAUACGGAGGGUGCAAGCGUUAAUCGGAAUUACUGGGCGUAAAGCGCACGCAGGCGGUUUGUUAAGUCAGAUGUGAAAUCCCCGGGCUCAACCUGGGAACUGCAUCUGAUACUGGCAAGCUUGAAGCUCGUAGAGGGGGGGAGAAUUCCAGGUGUAACGGUGAAAUGCGUAGAGAUCUGGAGGAAUACCGGUGGCGAAGGCGGCCCCCUGGACGAAGACUGACGCUCAGGUGCGAAAGCGUGGGGAGCAAACAGG